rnacentral:rRNA from 1 species
UACGUAGGGACCAAGCGUUGUCCGGAUUUAUUGGGCGUAAAGAGCUCGUAGGCGGUUCGGCAAGUCGACGGUGAAAUCUCCACGCUCAACGUGGAGGGGUCCGUCGAUACUGCUGUGACUCGAGUCCGGUAGGGGAGUGUGGAAUUCCUGGUGUAGCGGUGGAAUGCGCAGAUAUCAGGAGGAACACCAAUAGCGAAGGCAGCUCGCUGGGACGUUACUGACACUGAGGCGCGAAAGCGUGGGGAGCGAACAGG